CGAUAGCUAAUACCGCAUAACAAUGGAUGACACAUGUCAUUUAUUUGAAAGGGGCAAUUGCUCCACUACAAGAUGGACCUGCGUUGUAUUAGCUAGUAGGUGAGGUAAUGGCUCACCUAGGCGACGAUACAUAGCCGACCUGAGAGGGUGAUCGGCCACACUGGGACUGAGACACGGCCCAGACUCCUACGGGAGGCAGCAUG
rnacentral:rRNA from 1 species